UAGGGAAUCUUCGGCAAUGGACGAAAGUCUGACCGAGCAACGCCGCGUGAGUGAAGAAGGUUUUCGGAUCGUAAAACUCUGUUGUUAGAGAAGAACAAGGACGUUAGUAACUGAACGUCCCCUGACGGUAUCAAACCAGAAAGCCACGGCUAACUACGUGCCAGCAGCCGCGGUAAUACGUAGGUGGCAAGCGUUGUCCGGAUUUAUUGGGCGUAAAGCGAGCGCAGGCGGUUUCUUAAGUCUGAUGUGAAAGCCCCCGGCUCAACCGGGGAGGGUCAUUGGAAACUGGGAGACUUGAGUGCAGAAGAGGAGAGUGGAAUUCCAUGUGUAGCGAUGAAAUGCGUAGAUAUAUGGAGGAACACCAGUGGCGAAGGCGGCUCUCUGGUCUGUAACUGACGCUGAGGCUCGAAAGCGUGGGGAGCAAACAGG
rnacentral:rRNA from 1 species